CCUGCCAUCACUUGGAAAAUUGGGUUAGACCCUCUUGGGGUUAAAUCUACAGCAAUGCAAGGCAAUCAACAGUGGUGCAGUUGACCUGCUAGUGGAGCAGCUAUGGAGGUGUGAUAUCCUUUUCUAAACGAUGUUGCAGUAUGGGAUUAUCAACAACUCGGGUUUUGACCCUUCAAGAAGCUUCAAAAUAGCCUUUGUUAGUAUUAGCAGUUUGUGUAGUUUUUGGGUCCAUUAGCUAUGGGUCUUCCAUUAUCUGGUACUUAGUCCCCUUUUUUGGGGAAUACGACUGUUCUUUUUUUCUUUUUUGCAGGUCUCUUUACAUCAGAGAUUUGUUACCAAGUUUUGAAUCCCAAUCAUGAGUGUUGGUUUCUUCAUGGCUGGAGUUCCCUGAGAAUACAGUCGCUGCUAGGUUCUGGAUUUUAG
rnacentral:lncRNA from 1 species